rnacentral:rRNA from 1 species
GAGUAACACGUGACUAACCUACCUUUUAGUGGGGGAUAACUCCGGGAAACCGGAGCUAAUACCGCAUAACAUCGCAAGAUCAAAGCAGCAAUGCGCUGGAAGAGGGGGUCGCGGCUGAUUAGCUAGUUGGCGGGGUAACGGCCCACCAAGGCGAAGAUCGGUAUCCGGCCUGAGAGGGCGCACGGACACACUGGAACUGAAACACGGUCCAGACUCCUACGGGAGGCAGCAGUGGGGAAUUUUGCGCAAUGGGGGAAACCCUGACGCAGCAACGCCGCGUGGAGGAUGAAGCCCCUUGGGGCGUAAACUCCUUUCGACCAAGACGAUAAUGACGGUACUGGUGGAAGAAGCACCGGCUAACUCUGUGCCAGCAGCCGCGGUAAUACAGAGGGUGCAAGCGUUGUUCGGAAUUAUUGGGCGUAAAGGGCGCGUAGGCGGCGCGACAAGUCACUUGUGAAAUCUCCGGGCUUAACUCGGAGCCUGCAGGCGAAACUGUCGUGCUGGAGUAUGGGAGAGGUGCGUGGAAUUCCCGGUGUAGCGGUGAAAUGC